ensembl:lncRNA
CAUGAAGAAGGCAUAUAUAAGUUGACGGUGAAAGUCUAAAGCGUACAUGCUCCAGGUUAUGUGACAUCCUGGCCAGAACCAUUGACCCUCUUGGGAUUUCUUCGUCUCCACCGAGAAAGCUAGCCAGCAUAUCAUCACUGGACAACCAGAAUCACUGCGUUCAGCGCGAGAGAUUUAAAGAAAACAACAUUUUGCAAAUAGGGAAGGGGUCUAACUGUCCUGCUGGAAAGGAAAGAGAAGAUGGAGGAAAGGGGGGAGAAGAAAAAGAAGAGGACUGAAACGGCCCUGUGACUGAAACGGCCCUGUGUUCCAAAGAGGAGGUUUCAGAGAACUGUGUGUGUGUGUUUGUGUGCGUGUGUUUGUGUGUGUGUGUGUGCGUGCGAGUGUGCUUGUUGUGCGCCUGUGUGUGUGUGCGUGUGUGUCAUUUCACCUGGCCGUUUCGAUGAACCUGGACCACGUUGGACUCCCAACGAAAUCUCAGUCAACUGAAGAACACAGAUACAGUAGUCCAAAGGUUACUGGGAAGGAAUGCAAAGGUUAUUGGGACAGAAUGCCUUUCGGGGGGGGAGGUUUUUUCUUCUGUUUAAG